AGUUUAACCAGUCUUCCCGGUACACAUUCUCACGUGAUCUCAUGAUAUCACAUGAAUCCAGCUGCCAUGCAAGGAGUUUCCUCCAGUUUAACCAGUCUCCCCUGUGCACAGUCUCCCUACUAACAGGGUUUUGACAGCUGCCUUGCAGACUUCCAGAGGUUUUAGACUGGAGCUAGUGGUUGAGUGGCAAACAGAAGAAAAGACUAUGCUCCAGAGAUAGUGGUGCUGUUCCCCUCCCUUAAGGAUCCAUAUACCAA